rfam:Triticum aestivum genome assembly, contig: Triticum_aestivum_CS42_TGACv1_scaffold_434458_5DL
CAACUACUCCCUCUGUCCCAAAUUUCUUGUCUUAGAUUUGUGUAGAUAGAUGUAUCUAAUACUAAAAUGUGACUUGAUACAUCCGUAUCUACAUAAAUCUAAGACAAGAAUUUUGGGACGGAGGGAGUACUUU